AGGGCCUGUUCUGCUCAAAGUCUUACAAGACACUUAUUUCUUCAAUGAAGCUUCCUAAAUAAAUAUUACAGGCAGCGCAGAUGUGCAAGGUCCUUCAAAGACGCUUCACCAUCUCGUGGGAUCAAGGACCCAGUGACCAGCUGGACAAUUGGUGCAUCAGUGCUGGGAGUCUUGAGCAGAUCAGUGGUUUCUUGCUGGAACGAGUAAAUGCACGUAGUCGCUGGCA